rnacentral:rRNA from 1 species
CGUGCCUAAUACAUGCAAGUCGAACGCACUCUCGUUUAGAUUGAAGGAGCUUGCUCCUGAUUGAUAAACAUUUGAGUGAGUGGCGGACGGGUGAGUAACACGUGGGUAACCUGCCCUAAAGUGGGGGAUAACAUUUGGAAACAGAUGCUAAUACCGCAUAAAACCUAACACCGCAUGGUGUAGGGUUGAAAGAUGGUUUCGGCUAUCACUUUAGGAUGGACCCGCGGUGCAUUAGUUAGUUGGUGAGGUAAAGGCUCACCAAGACCGUGAUGCAUAGCCGACCUGAGAGGGUAAUCGGCCACACUGGGACUGAGACACGGCCCAGACUCCUACGGGAGGCAGCAGUAGGGAAUCUUCCACAAUGGACGAAAGUCUGAUGGAGCAACGCCGCGUGAGUGAAGAAGGUUUUCGGAUCGUAAAACUCUGUUGUUGGAGAAGAAUGUAUCUGAUAGUAACUGAUCAGGUAGUGACGGUAUCCAACCAGAAAGCCACGGCUAACUACGUG